rnacentral:lncRNA from 1 species
AAAUCUGUCUGGAAGUGGCCCGAUCCUGUUCCUGGUUAAACCAGUGGGAAUUUUGCCACCGACUUCAAUGGAAGCAGGAUGGGGUUUUUUGGACUAAUUUUAAAGUGGGACGUUGUUUCUCUGGAACAAAGCUUUCAGAUUCACAGCUACGUUUCAGUACUUGGCUAGAACUCCAGUCAAUUCGCCUUUCAUUUGUUUAGCAGAUGGGGCUGCUUGCUGCUCACCUGUUUGGCUUCAGCACUGAACAGGUCUCUGCUGGGUGAUGGCCACCCAGGGCCUGGCAUGUGUGGGAUUGGUGGCCAUGCUGUGGGAUGGAGCAGAGAGGAGGUGGGAUCUUCUGCUGCUUUCCCUGGGCACCUUUGGUCUGGGCAUGUUAGAGUGCUUGGAAGAGACAUCUGCUGCCUCUGUUUUUCAGCAUCUACAGGGAAAGAGGCCAACAGGUUUCUCAGAGCACAAAGUGCAGAGUAGCCACUGGACUUACUGUGUUACACUUGGGGAGAGACCAUUCAGGAGUUCAUAAUAGAGAAGAGAAGUCAGAGAAGACGUGGGAGAGAAAAGGUACCGGCAGUCCGAUACUACUCAUGUGGAAAUGAAAGGUGAUGCAGUAAAGGUCCAGCGCUGCUAAUGCUGGGUUGGCUGCUGGAUCACUUGUCCAGCUCAGAAAGACCACAAGACCACAAGAACCAUCCUACGCUGCAGCUGGAUGGCCACAAAAGCACCCCUCGUGUCACGGAGCCCGAUAGUUGUUAUUUUAGUGCAUCUCUUUUACUUUGGCGGAUUCUCGGUGCUGAGCUGUAAGUUAAAGUUUUGAGAAGAUCAGCCUGAAUUUGAGGAGGCCCACCUGCUCCCCAUGUCCUGUGAAGGUAGCUUAGGGAAAACACUGUGAUGCAAGCUGCCCGGAAAACAGGCAGCUUCCUGGCUAUUGUUCUGUAGGUCCCCACUCCCCCGAGGACCAUCCAGUGUAGUUAUUUGAGGCAUGGGCCUCGGUGCCUCCCAGCAGCCGUGCUGUGCUGACCUAUUGACUGGGAAGCAGGCUUAACACCAUCGAUCUCCAGAAGUUUUACUGAAAAUCAAUGGUGUCUGCGUGCAGGAUCCUGAAGAGAGAAGGAAGAAACCUCCUGGGAAAAAGGAGCUACGCUGCAAUGAUGAGGGAGCAGACCUGUCCCCAGAGCGAAAGGGUGAUGACCGUGACUCAGAAUGUUCAUGGAAAGGGAACAGAAGCAGCAAUGAGCCCUGAGAGUAUGGAUUUCUUGUCUAGGAGGUGACAUGAAUACAAGGCCUUGAUUUCAGGUGUGCAUUUGUGUCAAAGGGAGGAUUAUGAAGACCGUCUUCCACGUUCUGCACCUAGCAGAGCUGUGCCAAAAAGAUGGUAACCACCACUAUGAAAUGUCUCAGUAGGUGAGCAUGCACAUAAGUUCUGUGCCAAAUGUGCUUUGAAAUGUUCCCAAAACACUGGAGUGGUGGUCUGUGAUGAAAACAUAUCUCAGCCUUGCAUCUAAUGAUCAGCUAGGAUCCACUAC